GGCUGGUCUGAGUGCCACGGUGUUUUCAACUGACUGAUCACAACCAAUUACAGAUUCCUUUGUUCCUCUCCACUCCCACUGCUUCACUUGACUAGCCUUAA
ensembl:misc_RNA Y_RNA Y RNA